ACGGGUGAGUAACGCGUGGGUAACCUGCCCAUAAACCCGGGACAACUCUUGGAAACGAGGGCUAAUACCGGAUAGGCUUAAGAAGCGGCAUCGCUUUUUAAGGAAAGAUGGCCUCUGAAGAUGCUAUCGCUUAUGGAUGGACCCGCGUCUGAUUAGCUAGUUGGUGGGGUAAAGGCCUACCAAGGCGACGAUCAGUAGCCGGCCUGAGAGGGUGAACGGCCACACUGGGACUGAGACACGGCCCAGACUCCUACGGGAGGCAGCAGUGGGGAAUCUUCCGCAAUGGACGAAAGUCUGACGGAGCAACGCCGCGUGUAUGAUGAAGGUCUUCGGAUUGUAAAGUACUGUCUUUAGGGAAGAACGGUCAUUUCAGGAAUAUGGAAGUGACAUGACGGUACCUAAGGAGGAAGCCCCGGCUAACUACGUGCCAGCAGCCGCGGUAAUACGUAGGGGGCGAGCGUUGUCCGGAAUUAUUGGGCGUAAAGGGCGCGUAGGCGGGUAUUUAAGUCCGGUGUGAAAGAUCAGGGCUCAACCCUGAGAGUGCAUCGGAAACUGGGUAUCUUGAGGACAGGAGAGGA
rnacentral:rRNA from 1 species